AUCGCGUCUUCCCCUAACCCCCCCUAUGUGGGGGGAGGGGAAGGAUGAUGGCUUCCCACACCCCACCGGGUGUGGUUGGCCUAAAAAAGGAGCCUCAGGUUGCGGACUGCUGCGGCGAUAGGUGGUAGACGAGUAAUUGCUUUGCUUAUCGCGUCGUGCAGUAACCAGCCCUAGCUGGCUCGAAGGACCCUGAUUUGCCUCCGAACGGCGGCAAAACCGUU
rnacentral:snoRNA from 1 species